UCGCCUGUUUAUCAAAAACAUCUCUCCUAGGUUAAUUAUUAGGAGUAGGCCCUGCCCUGUGAUGAUUUUUUAACGGCGACGUUAAGUUUUGAAGUAGCGUGGUAAUUUGUCCCUUAAUUAGGGUCUGGUAUGAAUGGGUUGACGUGGAGAGGCUGUCUCGGGGGUAGAAACGGAAAUUUUCUUUCUAGUGAAAAGCCUGGAAUAGGUUUAAAAGACGAGAAGACCCCGUCGAGCUUGAUUUCCAAAGUGAUGAAUCGCUGCGGUGAAGUUUUAUUGGGGCAAUAAAGGAGAAAGGAAACCUCCUGUUUUUUUGGCGAAGAUCCACCUAUUGGGGAAAAAGGAAAAAGCUACCGCGGGGAUAACAGCGCAAAACUAUCUGAUAGGCCGUAUUGAAGGUAGUGAUUGCGACCUCGAUGUUGGAUUAAAGUUUACAGCUUGGCGCAGAAGCUUGGCAAAGUGGGACUGUUCGUCCCUUAAAUCUUUACAUGAUCUGAG
rnacentral:rRNA from 1 species